UGCAGUUUGAUACCACACUUGAACGGAGUCGACACAUCAGCCUCAAGGAGCACAAAGCGAUUCUUGAUCAGGAGAAAGACACUCGUGUUCAAAAUCUAUUACAGGAUUGUUGCUUCUACUUGUCAACCAAACAACAUUUUGCGUCUCCUUCAGCACACAUCACACCUAGUCUCAUACCAGCAUAUCAUUGCUAGGAAACAACAUAGUUUGGAAUUUCACAGCAGCCAGAGUCUGUAACCAAAAAUGCGAAAGAGUCAUGUUCCUUCUGUUUAUAAUAAAGGGGGGGAAAAAAAGAUUUUUACGAGCUGCUAACCUCAGACUGUAGCUAAUGAUUUUACAUCAAACGUGGCAAAGUGUUUGCUUACAAGUUCAGACCUGUUACCACCGAGUACACCACAAAAGCAAAAGUCUCUUCUCAGAGUGACAACUUUCCAUUUCUCGGAGGUGCCAUGCUUGUAUAUUGCUUGCCUGCCACAAACCCUCAAACUAUAUCACAUAGAGAGACUGCUUCAGGGUCAUCUCUUGAAUCAAUGGAACGGGAGUCUUGUGCCCCCUGACCAUUCGUCUCAGAGUUACAGAAAUGAUUCAAUGAAAAGACAUCGACACGCAAGAAUCCCACUCCCAUGACCUCCGUGUAAGUCCAGAAACAAAAUGCUUACGAACCUUUAAGUCCUGGUAAUUGCUCUUUCUCACUAUCAUUUGAACCAUGUUUUUUUCGUUUUGAAUUUUUUUUGUCAAGUUUUUUAAAUAGAAAUUAUAACUUUUUCAAAACUAGUAACUUUUCAAGGUUUUGAGGAAUUUUUUUAAUAUAACUAGAUUUUAUUUGAAAACAAAUAGAAUAUAAUGUCAUGUCAUUAAGAUCCUUAGAGAUAAUAUGUUUAUUUGCUUUAUCACUUGUGAUCACUAAAUUUCUAUCAAUACUAUUAAAUCAGGAACAUGUCCAAUUGAUAAAAGGUCGUGUCCAACAUAUAUUCUUUUUAUUUAAGGAUUAGUUAUUAUUCUCUUUAUAUAUCCACGACCAGUUUUAUUUAUAACUUCCAUUUGAUUCCCCUAAUUUUCGGAUCAACUUGAGUCAAAAGUCUACGUUUCAUACAACAAUCAAUAUAAGUAAUCAUAUUAAACAUGUUUGACAACAAUAUAAUUGACAUCAAUUUUUUCACCCUAUAACCUAACCUCGAUUCUAAUCCUAACACCUACACCUUUUAUAAGUAAAAUUAAUUCAAAAGUUUUAAUAGGUUUAGAUAGAUACAAACAGAUCAAUAUAAAUGUAAAAAGUCUAAAUGGAUAAUCCUAUUAAAUUUUAAUAUUAAAUAGGUUGGUUUAUUUUAUUGUCAAUUAUAUUUGAUAUAUACAUAUACUCUAAACGAUUAAAUGGGCUAAUUUAGAUACUUAAUCAUUUUAAGAAUAUUUUAAUAUAUUAGGACUGUUUUAAUACUAAUAUUUUUUAAAAAAUAUUAUACACAAAAAAUGUUACAUAUUUACAGAAAAAAAAACAAAAAAUUAUAAAGCAACAUUAUAUAUGCGGGUGAAGAUCUAGAAUAAACAAAUAUGAUUACAAAAAAAAGGCAUACAGACAUAGAGUAUAUCGGGUCAACUUCUAAGUUGCUAUUAUUUUAUAAAAUACAUCUGCGGGUGAAGAUCUAGAAUAAACAAAUAUGAUUACAAAAAAACGGGCAUACAGACAUAAACUAAUGUCGGGUCAACUUCUAAGUUGCUAUUAUUUUAUAAAAUAUUUUUUUAUUAAAAUUUAUACACAAAUAUGAUGACAAAGAAAAACAAAAAUAUAAAAAUUAAAUUUCUAAGAAAAAAAUAUAAAGGGCGGGUCAGAAUCUAGUUAAUCAGUUUAAAAAAUAAUUCCUUUUGUUUUUUAUUGUUUUGAUACUUUUUUUUGAACAAGUUUUUUUUAAAGAAAGUAAAGUGUUUUUCAUAAAAUUAAAAGUUUCUAAGAAUUGUUUUAUAUAACUAGGGUGAUCAUAAAAACUUAUGUGUAAAUUUAUGGUAACAAAUAGAAUAUAUUACCCUGUCAUUAUGAUCUUUAGAGAUGAUAUGUUUUAUUUGUGUUAAACACUUAUGAUCACUAAGUUUUCCUAAUCAAUAUUAAUAUUACAAAAAAAAGUCUUUUUUUUUGUUUGUCAAAGAUUGCAUUUUUUUGUUUGUCAAAGAUUGCAUUGUUUUUUCUCAAUUUUUUUUAGUUUUUCAAAUUUUAAAUAAAAUUUUAUAUAACUAGAGUUAUAAUGAUAACUUAUAUGUAAAUUUGUGACAACCAAUAUUACAUUUUAUCAUGUCAUUGUGAUCGUUAAAUAGCUAAAGACACCCAAAUCUCAACAUACAAUGUUGUACAAUGCCACAUAACGAAGUGAAAUAGAUAAAUAAAACUCUUCCGUGCUUAGUAAAUCAGCACUAUGGUCCACAUGAAGGAUGAGGAGAAAUAAGACUUUUUCUCUCUGUGCUAGAAUAAUGGCAAGACUUUUCUUUUGGCAGCUCAAGUAUUAGAGAUCCUUCUUUGCCUAUCAUCGUAGCUUCCCAGCUGAAUGCAAAUAUACUGAAACAGAGACGACCCUGCCAAAGUGCAAACACAGUAAACAUCAGCUCUUCCGUGAAAAAGGUUGAGAAUGGAUUUUGUAUUGGCAGAGGCAAGAUGCGGUUAUAACUUACGUUGAACCAAGGAAGAAAGCUAGUGAAAGAUGAAAAUUGAAUAGGAAUACAGAGACAACCGCGGUGAGAAGCAUUGCCACUGAUGUCGAAUAAACCUACCAUACAUAUCGCUAAAGGUUAAACCCCGUGUUUCAAAAGUGACUACUACUUAUGCCGGCGUGCAAGUUUAUUAUUACCUUUACAAUAUUGUCUGCAUAUUUCAUCACCACUGACACAGCAAUACCACUGCAAAACAAACAUGAGAAUAAUGUUUUAAUGUGUUAAACUACAUGUAAACUGAGAUCAAAAGCGGCUUUUACCUGAGAGCAUGGUUAAUAAUCA